rnacentral:misc_RNA from 1 species
GAUGAAGAACGUAGCGAAAUGCGAUAACUAAUGUGAAUUGCAGAAUUCAGUGAAUCAUCGAGUCUUUGAACGCACAUUGCGCCCCCUGGUAUUCCGGGGGGCAUGCCUGUCCGAGCGUCAUUGCUGCCCUCAAGCACGGCUUGUGUGUUGGGCUCCGUCCCACCGGGGACGGGCCCGAAAGGCAGCGGCGGCACCGAGUCCGGUCCUCGAGCGUAUGGGGCUUUGUCACCCGCUCUGUAGGCCCGGCCGGCGCCAGCCGACAACCCAUCAUCCUUUUCAGGUUGACCUCGGAUCAGGUAGGGAUACCCGCUGAACUUAAGCAUAUCAAUAAGCGGAGGA